rnacentral:snoRNA from 1 species
CAGUCAGAGGAAUGAUGUACUGCAGAAAAGCCCUAAAAUUGCAAGCUUUUCUUGACAUGGCUG